rfam:Beauveria bassiana D1-5 contig01099, whole genome shotgun sequence.
GCGGCCAUAGAUUAGCUGGGAGAUCGUCAGACUGAAGUCCAACUUCAAUCCUACGGAUUUAGAUACCUAUCUGAAGGUCGUGUGUUCGAGUCACACUGGCCGCA